rnacentral:rRNA from 1 species
CUACUCUUGACAUCCAGAGAACUUAGCAGAGAUGCUUUGGUGCCUUCGGGAACUCUGAGACAGGUGCUGCAUGGCUGUCGUCAGCUCGUGUUGUGAAAUGUUAGGUUAAGUCCCGCAACGAGCGCAACCCUUAUCCUUUGUUGCCAGCGGUCCGGCCGGGAACUCAAAGGAGACUGCCAGUGAUAAACUGGAGGAAGGUGGGGAUGACGUCAAGUCAUCAUGGCCCUUACGCCCAGGGCUACACACGUGCUACAAUGGUCGGUACAGAAGGCAGCGAAGUCGUGAGAUGGAGCAAAUCCCAAAAGCCGGCCCCAGUUCGGAUUGUAGUCUGCAACUCGACUACAUGAAGAUGGAAUUGCUAGUAAUGGCGAGUCAGCAACAUCGCCGUGAAUACGUUCCC